AAGACCAGCUUUAAACUACACAGGCUGACUUAUUCCAUACCGAAAAGGUCAAAAUGGAUUAAAAAGUGAUCCACGACUGCAGAAAAGCAGCACACUGGUUGGAAGAAAACCAAAGUCUCUUCAGCAGCAAGGUGGAUUUGCCUGACAUUUUGAUGAUGGGGAUGGAAAUGUGGCUGAAGCAGUCAAGCUAUUCAAACAAAUGUGUGAAGUAGAUGACUUCACCAUUGAUGAGCACGAGAGGGAGAUGGUUUUAGAACCUUUCAAGUUUGUUUUUCAAAAAAAGAUUGAAGACAUGUGGCAGUUUUUGGAGGAGCUGGCCGAUCGGCAGAAUCUUCUCCUGUACUUGCACACAGAAGCCGAGCCCAUGCAGAUCGGUCACACCAGACUCUCAUCAGAAGAAAGACAAAGGAGAUUCAAACAAAACCUCUGUUC